rnacentral:rRNA from 1 species
AUUGAACGCUGGCGGCAGGCCUAACACAUGCAAGUCGAGCGGAUGAAGAGAGCUUGCUCUCUGAUUUAGCGGCGGACGGGUGAGUAAUGCCUAGGAAUCUGCCUGGUAGUGGGGGAUAACGUUCCGAAAGGAACGCUAAUACCGCAUACGUCCUACGGGAGCAAGCAGGGGACCUUCGGGCCCUGCGCUAUCAGAUGAUCCUAGGUCGGAUUGGCUAGUUGGUGAGGUAAUGGCGCACCAAGGCGACGAUCCGCAACUGAUCUGAGAGGAUGAUCAGUCACACUGGAACUGAGACACGGUCCAGACUCCUACGGGAGGCAGCAGUGGGGAGUAUUGGACAAUGGGCGAAAGCCUGAUCCAGCCAUGCCGCGUGUGUGAAGAAGGUCUUCGGAUUGUAAAGCACUUUAAGUUGGGAGGAAGGGCAUUAACCUAAUACGUUAGUGUUUUGACGUUACCAACAGAAUAAGCACCGGCUAACUUCGUGCCAGCCGCCGCCGUAAGAC